AGAAUCAACGCUGGCGGCGUGCCUAACACAUGCAAGUCGAACGCGAAAGCCUCGCAAGGGGCCCGUAGCGUGGCAAACGGGUGAGUAACACGUGGGUGACCUGCCUUCGAGCGGGGGAUAACGUCCCGAAAGGGACGCUAAUACCGCAUGACAUCCUGCCUUUGAAGAGGUGGAGAUCAAAGCUGGGGAUCGCAAGACCUGGCACUCGAAGAGGGGCCCGCGCCUGAUUAGCUAGUUGGUGGGGUAAUGGCUCACCAAGGCAACGAUCAGUA
rnacentral:rRNA from 1 species